rnacentral:rRNA from 1 species
AGUGAACGCUGGCGGUAGGCCUAACACAUGCAAGUCGAACGGCAGCACAGUAAGAGCUUGCUCUUACGGGUGGCGAGUGGCGGACGGGUGAGGAAUACAUCGGAAUCUACUUUUUCGUGGGGGAUAACGUAGGGAAACUUACGCUAAUACCGCAUACGACCUACGGGUGAAAGCAGGGGAUCUUCGGACCUUGCGCGAUUGAAUGAGCCGAUGUCGGAUUAGCUAGUUGGCGGGGUAAAGGCCCACCAAGGCGACGAUCCGUAGCUGGUCUGAGAGGAUGAUCAGCCACACUGGACCUGAGACACGGUCCAGACUCCUACGGGAGGCAGCAGUGGGGAAUAUUGGACAAUGGGCGCAAGCCUGAUCCAGCCAUACCGCGUGGUGAAGAAGGCCUUCGGGUUGUAAAGCCCUUUUGUUGGGAAAGAAAAGCAGCAGGUUAAUACCCCGCUGUUCUGACGGUACCCAAAGAAUAAGCACCGGCUAACUUCGUG